UAGGGAAUCUUCCACAAUGGGCGCAAGCCUGAUGGAGCAACGCCGCAUGAGUGAAGAAGGUCUUCGGAUCGUAAAACUCUGUUGUUAGAGAAGAACAUGCAGGAGAGUAACUGUUCUUGUAUUGACGGUAUCUAACCAGAAAGCCACGGCUAACUACGUGCCUG
rnacentral:rRNA from 1 species